rnacentral:rRNA from 1 species
GACGAACGCUGGCGGCGUGCCUAAUACAUGCAAGUAGAACGCUGAAGGAGGAGCUUGCUCUUCUGGAUGAGUUGCGAACGGGUGAGUAACGCGUAGGUAACCUGCCUGGUAGCGGGGGAUAACUAUUGGAAACGAUAGCUAAUACCGCAUAACAGUAGAUGUUGCAUGACAUUUACUUAAAAGGUGCAAUUGCAUCACUACCAGAUGGACCUGCGUUGUAUCAGCUAGUUGGUGGGGUAACGGCUCACCAAGGCGACGAUACAUAGCCGACCUGAGAGGGUGAUCGGCCACACUGGGACGGAGACACGGCCCAGACGCCUACGGGAGGCAGCAGUAGGGAAUCUUCGGCAAUGGACGGAAGUCUGACCGAGCAACGCCGCGUGAGUGAAGAAGGUUCUCGGAUCGGAAAGCUCGGUUGUAAGAGAAGAACGAGUGUGAGAGUGGAAAGUUCACACUGUGACGGUAUCUUAACAGAAAGGGACGGCUAACUACGUG